rnacentral:rRNA from 1 species
UGGGGAAUUUUGGACAAUGGGGGAAACCCUGAUCCAGCCAUCCCGCGUGUGCGAUGAAGGCCUUCGGGUUGUAAAGCACUUUUGGCAGGAUAGAAACGUCAUGGGUUAAUACCCCGUGAAACUGACGGUACCUGCAGAAUAAGCACCGGCUAACUACGUGCCAGCAGCCGCGGUAAUACGUAGGGUGCAAGCGUUAAUCGGAAUUACUGGGCGUAAAGCGUGCGCAGGCGGUUUGGAAAGAAAGAUGUGAAAUCCCAGAGCUCAACUUUGGAACUGCAUUUUUAACUACCGGGCUAGAGUGUGUCGGAGGGAGGUGGAAUUCCGCGUGUAGCAGUGAAAUGCGUAGAUAUGCGGAGGAACACCGAUGGCGAAGGCAGCCUCCUGGGAUAACACUGACGCUCAUGCACGAAGGCGUGGGGAGCAAACGGG